rnacentral:misc_RNA from 1 species
UGAAAAGACGUCAACCAGAAGAACCGGCUUGUAGUUGACCUUCAACUGAUGCGUGGCCGCGAGGUCCUGAAACAGCGCAUGCCCGAUGUAAGCCCAUGGCGACUGGAUGGAAAAAUAGUAGUCAAUCUGGCGCGCCAUCGGCCCUCCCGGCUGCAUGAUUUCGGCAAGCUCCGGUCAUAUCACAACAAGUAAAACCAUGCCGGCAAACACACGAUUGCGCAUUUCAUUUAUC